AUGUACCACGCGUCCACUGCGGUUGUGAGCGCGCCGUCCGCGCCUCCUGACAGCUGCUCGCUAUGUCUUGUUAGCC
rnacentral:sRNA from 2 species